CCUACGGGAGGCAGCAGUGGGGAAUAUUGGACAAUGGGCGAAAGCCUGAUCCAGCCAUGCCGCGUGUGUGAAGAAGGCCUUCGGGUUGUAAAGCACUUUCAGUGGGGAAGAAAGCCUUGGGGCUAAUACCCUCGAGGAAGGACAUCACCCACAGAAGAAGCACCGGCUAACUCCGUGCCAGCAGCCGCGGUAAUACGGAGGGUGCGAGCGUUAAUCGGAAUUACUGGGCGUAAAGCGCGCGUAGGCGGUCUGAUAAGCCGGUUGUGAAAGCCCCGGGCUCAACCUGGGAACGGCAUCCGGAACUGUCAGGCUAGAGUGCAGGAGAGGAAGGUAGAAUUCCCGGUGUAGCGGUGAAAUGCGUAGAGAUCGGGAGGAAUACCAGUGGCGAAGGCGGCCUUCUGGACUGACACUGACGCUGAGGUGCGAAAGCGUGGGUAGCAAACAGGAUAGAUACCCCGGUAGUC
rnacentral:rRNA from 1 species